rnacentral:rRNA from 1 species
AAUUGGAGGGCAAGUCUGGUGCCAGCAGCCGCGGUAAUUCCAGCUCCAAUAGCGUAUAUUAAAGUUGUUGCAGUUAAAAAGCUCGUAGUUGAAUUUCGGGAUCAAUAUUUCGGUCAUGCCGUUGGUAUGCACUGUUAUCAUUGAUUUCUCACCUUCUAAAGAACCGUAAUGCCAUUAAUUUGGUGUUACGGGGAAUUAGGACUGUUACCUUGAAAAAAUUAGAGUGUUUAAAGCAGGCUCACGCUUGAAUACAUUAGCAUGGAAUAAUGAAAUAGGACAUCCGAUUCUAUUUUGUUGGUUUCUAGGAUCGAUGUAAUGAUUAAUAGGGAUAGUUGGGGGCAUUAGUAUUCAAUUGUCAGAGGUGAAAUUCUUGGAUCGAUUGAAGACUAACUACUGCGAAAGCAUUUGCCAAGGAUGUUUUCAUUAAUCAAGAACGAAAGUUAGGGGAUCGAAGACGAUCAGAUACCGUCGUAGUCUUAACCAUAAACUAUGCCGACUAGGGAUCGGAUGAUGUUAAUUUUUUAAUGACUCAUUCGGCGCCUUACGGGAAACCAAAGUGU